UACGAAGGGGGCUAGCGUUGCUCGGAAUCACUGGGCGUAAAGGGUGCGUAGGCGGGUCUUUAAGUCAGGGGUGAAAUCCUGGAGCUCAACUCCAGAACUGCCUUUGAUACUGAAGAUCUUGAGUUCGGGAGAGGUGAGUGGAACUGCGAGUGUAGAGGUGAAAUUCGUAGAUAUUCGCAAGAACACCAGUGGCGAAGGCGGCUCACUGGCCCGGUACUGACGCUGAGGUGCGAAAGCAUGGGGAGCAAACGGG
rnacentral:rRNA from 1 species